rnacentral:other from 1 species
GCAGGGCUGCGGGGUGCGUCAGAGCAUUGACCCGGGGGCCUAUAAGACUCGCACGGGAGCUGUCCCUGGCCGAGACCGUGGUCUCGGACACACGGCGCCCACCUACAUCUCGUAGGGACCACGCGGGAUCUACGCUCGAACGGCUCAGGCGGCUCUGCG